rnacentral:rRNA from 1 species
UGAUCCUGGCUCAGAACGAACGCUGGCGGCGUGCUUAACACAUGCAAGUCGAACGAGAAAUUACCUUCGGGUAAUGGACAGUGGCAGACGGGUGAGUAACGCGUGGCAACCUACCUUUCAGUAAGGGACAACAGUUGGAAACGACUGCUAAUACCUUAUACGUCCUCCGGGAGAAAGAUUUAUCGCUGAUAGAUGGGGCCGCGUUAGAUUAGCUUGUUGGUGAGGUAAUGGCUCACCAAGGCGACGAUCUAUAGCGGGUCUGAGAGGAUGAUCCGCCACACUGGGACUGAGACACGGCCCAGACUCCUACGGGAGGCAGCAGUGGGGAAUAUUGGACAAUGGGGGCAACCCUGAUCCAGCAACGCCGCGUGAAUGAUGAAGGCCUUAGGGUUGUAAAAUUCUUUCGCUAGGGAAGAUAAUGACUGUACCUAGCAAAGAAGCCCCGGCUAACUCCGUGCCAGCAGCCGCGGUAAUACGGAGGGGGCUAGCGUUGUUCGGAAUUACUGGGCGUAAAGCGUGCGUAGGCGGAUUAAUAAGUUAGAUGUGAAAUCCCAGGGCUCAACCCUGGAACUGCAUUUAAAACUGUUAGUCUUGAGUUCUGGAGAGGUAAGUGGAAUUCCUAGUGUAGAGGUGAAAUUCGUAGAUAUUAGGAGGAACACCAGAGGCGAAGGCGGCUUACUGGACAGAUACUGACGCUGAGGCACGAAAGUGUGGGGAGCAAACAGGAUUAGAUACCCUGGUAGU